ACUCAACAACCUAAGUCGAUUGAAAACUGCAAUUCACUAACUAAGUUGGAUCUAACGCGUUCAGCAAUUCAGGAGUUGCCUGAUUCAAUUGGAAACUUGAAGAGUUUAAGAGUAUUAAAGAUGAUCAACAGCUCCAUAAGAAAACUACCUAGUGCCAUUGGAAUGUUGGAGAAGCUCGAAGAGUUAGAGGCAGGGGCAUAUGCAAUUACAACACUGAGAGGAGAGAUUCCUGAUAAUAUUGGGAAGCUACGAUAUUUGAAAAGAUUGUGGAUUAGUAUCUGUGGAAUUUCAGCGGCACCGCAACUUCCGGAAAGUUUGAUAGAUCUAAGUUUUAUUUCGACUUCAAUAAAGACGUUGCCACUCUUGAACCUAUUAAACCUAAGAAAAUUGACUGUGUAUUCUCCAAGAAUAACCACCCUAUCGCCCGAUAUCAGUUUUCUUUCUCAGCUGGAGGAACUCACUCUCCGCUGCAUGAAUUUGCAAUGCCUACCUAGGCUUCCGACAAAUCUGUCAAUUUUAUUGAUGGGGGAGAGUAACAAGUGGAAAACUACAAAUGAUCUCUCGUACUUGAAAUCAUUAUGGAAGUUGUUAGUUCGGGAUUGUCGCAGGCUAACAGAAAUUCAAGGCCUUGAAGGUUUGC
rnacentral:lncRNA from 1 species